AGGACGAACGCUGGCGGCGUGCUUAACACAUGCAAGUCGAACGGAAAGGCCCUUCGGGGUACUCGAGUGGCGAACGGGUGAGUAACACGUGGGCAACCUGCCCCUAGCUCUGGGAUAACACUUGGAAACAGGUGCUAAUACCGGAUAACGACUCGACAAGGCAUCUUGACGAGUCCAAAGUUUUUCGGCUAGGGAUGGGCCCGCGGCCUAUCAGCUUGUUGGUGGGGUAAUGGCCCACCAAGGCAACGACGGGUAG
rnacentral:rRNA from 1 species